rnacentral:rRNA from 1 species
AUUGAACGCUGGCGGCAUGCCUUACACAUGCAAGUCGAACGGCAGCACGGGUGCUUGCACCUGGUGGCGAGUGGCGAACGGGUGAGUAAUACAUCGGAACGUACCUUAUCGUGGGGGAUAACGCAGCGAAAGCUGUGCUAAUACCGCAUACGCCCUGAGGGGGAAAGCGGGGGACCGCAAGACCUCGCGCGAUUAGAGCGGCCGAUGCCUGAUUAGCUAGUUGGUGGGGUAAAAGCCCACCAAGGCGACGAUCAGUAGCUGGUCUGAGAGGACGAUCAGCCACACGGGGACUGCGACACGGCCCAGACUCCUACGGGAGGCAGCAGUGGGGAAUUUUGGACAAUGGGGGCAACCCUGAUCCAGCAAUGCCGCGUGAGUGAAGAAGGCCUUCGGGUUGUAAAGCUCUUUUGUCAGGGAAGAAACACCGGCUCUAACACAGUCCGGGAAUGACGGUACCUGAAGAAUAAGCACCGGCUAACUACGUGCCAGCCGCCGCGGUAA